rnacentral:sRNA from 1 species
AAUUGCAUCAUCAGCAGAUGGCGGAUCCAGACUUGUUGGAAGAGUCCUCAUCCCUCUUGGAGCCAAGUGAGAUGGGAAGAGGCACGCCUUUAAGACUUGGCUUCGUGGCUGGUGUCAUUAACCGGGAGCGCAUCCCUACUUUUGAGCGCAUGCUUUGGCGGGUAUGCCGGGGAAAUGUGUUCCUGCGACAGGCUGAAAUCGAGAACCCCCUGGAGGAUCCUGUGACUGUAAGACAAGGAGAUUGCAUCCUGUGGAGUAGGUCUUGUAAAGGGAGCCCAGAGCAGUAACAUAGCAUGGGGCCACCUGAAUCCAGUGCUUCCACAGAGGAGCCAUUAUCUUUAGCUCUGCUCUAAUUGGAGAAUUUGAAGUACUUCCUCUUAGUUAAUUCCUGUCAUAUAUACAUAUGGAUGUAUGAUGUAUACAUGACAUAUACAUAUUUUCAAGUUUACCCGUGUAGAUGUUAUUCUGAUUGGAAAUUUUUAUUUUCACUCAUUUGCCUUUUAUGAAAAUUAACUUUAAAGCAAGACAUCUGGUUCCAAAUUUGGUAAUUUUUUUUUUUUUGAGGUGGAGUCUCACUCUGUUGUCCA